ACUUUCACAACUUUGUUUUAAAUUUGACUGGAGAUAAAUAUAUAAAUUCAUGAGCUUUCCACCAACCAGAUUCUUGAGAUUAACUCAUAUGAGUUAAGAAUAUAUCUGUCCCCUCUUUAUGAGCUAUCUUUUCAAAUCCAAUAGUCUGAGAUAUAUUUGGAAUGGAAACUCCCAUUUUAAGAUCUAGUUGAAUAAAGAAAAUUAAAAAUGGAAUUAACAUGAUAAUCUGGGAGUGUAGUCAUUAUGCCAUGAAAAAUAAAAAUAUGGGCCAAUUAUUGUACACUUUUUCAGGGUCUUAUAAAAGGCUGUUUAAGAGUCUCAUAUCUGGACAAAGUUAUUGUGUAUUAUUACACACACAAUUGUAGUCUGUUGUAGAAAACAGACUACAUUAUUCAAGUGUUUGUUGCAGACGCCUGUAUAUCCUAGGUAUCAUGAUGGGGAAUAUGAUAGAUAUAAAUGCCUAUAGUAAUUAAAUGUUACAUUUAUACAUAUAUACAAUAUCUACCAUGAAUUACUAUUGCUGCAUUGAUAAUAUCCUUAUAAUGUUCUUGAUUUUGUAUAAUGUCUAAUGUUUCUGUUAAGUGAGGUAUAGAAAUAUAAACUACCCACAUGCACUAUUGCUGUAAUAUUUAUAAUAUGUAAAUAUUCCAUUUGAGCAGUGAAGGAAUUUCAUCUCAGCAUUUCCCCUCUCCUCCAUGCAGCACCCUCUUGUUCAGUUUGUCCAGAGCCUGAGUUCAGGCAGAUGACCUACCAGUGGGACAUAAAUAAGGGGAUCACAUAAGAGCAAAUUGCCCUACAAUGUGUCAACAAAUGGCUAAACCACAGUGUUUAAAAUAAUCAAUUAGUUGUUGUCACAGCUACCAAGAAAAUUCUAAAAACUUUGUCCUUUAGUAGCCUGGUGAAAUCAUUUGGCCAGCAACCACUACCUUGUGCACUAGUAGCUCCUGGCCUUGAAGCUGACUGUCUCUUCAGACACACUUAAGAUGGAAUCUGCAAUGACUAUGCAGGGAUUUCUUCAACAAAAGAUUGUCCAAGAAAGCUUUCAGUCCAGGCUCAAAAGUACCCAUUUUACAAGAAUAUAUGCGUAGAAUCCUUCCCUGCCCACAUGAGUAGAAUCCUUCCCUACACACAUCUGUGUGUAGAAAAGCAGUAGUCCUGUUGCGUUUGGAAAUGUAGAAUAAAAGGAAUUAGAGUAGAGGAGGCUAUUACAACCAGUCCUUUCUAGCCCUUUUUAAUCUUAAUCUCAAAAGUGAUUUGCAUGGCACCUGAGGGGUUAGAGAUGUUGGGGUAAAUGUUUUCCUAAGUGAAGUUCCUAGGAUAAAAUUGGAAGAAACCGAGACUAUUAGACUAUAGACAUUUUCAUGGGAAUGACAAGAAGUUUUUUUUUUUUUAAUUCUCAUCCUAUCUAUCUUUGAAAUACCAAUCAUAAAAAUGAUUUGAUGAGGUUAAACACAUAGGUUGGCAUAAUUACUGGGGAAUCAGAGGAUCGAAAUCAUGGAUAUCAAAAUGACUCUACAUGUUUUUUCUACAUGCUUCCUUGUAUCCCAUCUACCCAAGAAAGAAAAAAUCCAAUCUAACCUGACUGCAUCAUUCCACCAUACUACCAAUGACAUAGGCUGGACAAUAAUUUCUUGAAGGCUGUUUUACCACUAGAUUCUAGAAUUCUAAGAACAGACAGCCAUAUGCACCCAAUGAACACUUUGUUCAAAAUUUGAAAUAGACCGUGGAGCUCCUGUGUCAGCUAUUUUAUGGUUACUUGUCACAUCAAUUUUUUACUAUCAGAAUUGAUUCUGGGAACUCAUGAUCAGAAUUAGAUGUAAAGAUUAUUAUGAAUUCAGUUGCAACCUUGUUUGGUUAGGUCUAAGGUCCAAGCCAGUAUGCUGAGGGGGAAGAACCUGAGCCCAGCAAGAGAAAAAACAGUUCAAAAGACAGACUGUAAAACACCUUAGAGUUUUCUAGCUCACUGGCUGCAGUUUGCAUCACAAAUAAGCUACACAUAGUGCAUCAUAACUAAAAUUCUGGCCAAGCGGCUGCUGUUGGCAGAUGACAACAACAACAACAACAAAACAGAAGACCCAGAAGUCAUUUAGCAGCUGAAGACUAGUUGAUGGCAGCAUAGAACAAGACAAUGUAGCUUGACAGAGAGAAGAGAUCCCAAGAAGAAACAGCACUGGAGAGAGACCAGGGAAGAGAAAACCCAGCAGUACACUUAAUGACAUGACCAAAAGACAAUGGGGGCUUAGCAGCAUCUCAGGCCCUGUGAAUAAGUAGCCUGUCAGUCGUCACGCCCUUUUCAGAGAUGAACAUGGAGUAAUAACUUGCCCAAAGUCCCCAAACAGGAAAUCCCAGAGCCAAAGAUGAAUCUAGCUCCUGACUCUCCAUCUGGUAACCCCCACUCAAUGACCACAAUGGAAGGUUACAAGUGACUAGUGCAACGGGAGAAACAAAGUAGAAUAAGAAAUCAGAAAAGAGAAGAGACAAAUUUCUGCAUUGAUAGCCUUCCAAGGAAGAUUUCUUAAAGAAAAUGACAAAAAAGCUCGAAGAACUUGGAUGGGAUUUCUUUAGCUUGACUCGGAAGAUGGGACAUGAAAAAGGAAUUUUUUUCCACCUGGUUAAUUCUGAGCCUGGAUUUUGAUGCCCUGUGAAUAAUGUGGAACUUUGCUUUCUGAUUAAAUAUAAUUCUUGUGUGGAAUCAAACAGAUCUUAGAGAGUUUUCCCUGUGUUUGGGUUUUAGCGGGAUUACCUAGGAAUCGCAAUCAAAUGACUUGGAACCAGAAAAAUAGAUCUACUAACCUUCAGAGUUACACUGAAAAAAAGACUUAUUCCAGAAUGUCCAAGGACAGAUGAUUCCAGGGACUAGACAGCAACCUGGAAUAUCUGGGAUUCCUGAUAAAAUUUGGUUAUUAAAUGGACUUUGGGAGUGGGUUACCAAGUUGCAAGGAGAUUUGAUGUUAUUUAAUAUUGAUGAUCAUUAUUGUUUUGCUUCAGUUUUUUUUUUGUUGUUGUUUUAUGUUUACAUCUGCUGAAUUUUCAUAGUCACCUUAAUGAAAUGUUAAUUAGUCCAUGGUGAGCCCUCUAAGUCAUUUGAUCUGUAGCCUGAUUUAGUUUACCUAUAGAUUCUAUUUAACAAAGUUUGUAUCCUUAAGGAAUAUAUGAGAUUAUGACUGUUUAUAUUCUUUGUACCUUUCACCCCAUUCUUUUGCUACCUCUUAAGGUACACUAACAUUUUGUCCAGAAAUCCAUAAUAGAUAAAGUAUUUAAAUAAAUGACCCUGUGGGCUAAGAACCCCAGAAUCAAAGGUAGAAAUGCCACAUUAAAAUAGCAUGAGUAACUCCAUUUUUGCCUUUACCCACCAUUUUUAAAUUUAAGUUGCAACUUUUUGUUAGUCACCUGAUCACAGGAAAGUCAUAAGACUGGAAAGUCACAGGAUUAUCCCAUUCUUACUUCAAUGUCUCCAAAUCCCUUCCAUUAAUAAGAAAUAAGGUGGUUCAAUCCCUACAUCCUGUUUUUGUUUUGGGUUGUUUUUUUUUUCCUUCUUUAACCAUAUAUUAACUGUGUAGAAAAGUCCUGGGUCUUUGUGCAGACCAAAAGCCUUGGACCUGAUUUGUUUCUGCAACCUCAUGCAUUAUUAAAUAAAUUUUUUG